UUUACUAGCGAUAUAGAUAUUUUAUCUCAUGUCACGUGGCUGGGUACAAACAAUUUAUACGCUUUAAAAAGAACUCGCUUCGCCGAAGCAUGUGAAGAUGCAAUGGCUAGAAAUCGUGACUACUGUCGACCAACUAAUAUCGAGUUUGCUGAAUCAAUGACUCGCGCUCUUAAAAGUUUAAAAGAGAGGCGACGAAAACGUCAAUUAGUCGCGGAUUUGAACAACCGACAUCAGAUCAGCAAUCAGAUAAUCGACAACGUUGAAGAGAAAGACCGUCAAGUUCGUAGAUAUCAUGUGAAAAAAACAACCUCUGCCAGAGUUCACAGAAUAUCGCCAGAGUCAGUUGCUACCUUUCAAAGCACUGAUAACGACAUCAAACUGAUCACGGAAAACCAUAAGAGCAAUGUCAUCUACAUAUCUGACAUGUAGAAGAGGAAUAAAAGAUAGAGAACUAAUGGUAAAUGCUUCUAGAUCCUGCAUGACUAUGUCUGCUAGAAUUGGAGAAAGAGGAGAGCCCAUUGGUGCGCCAAAGUCCUUUUAUUGCGAGAUCAAUUGGAAUGUUAGUGAUUAAAGACAUAACAUCGAGAGAGAUUAACUCAAAUGUUUCAUCAAAUGUAACUUCAGAGAUCCGACUCGCAAGAUGGAAGCUAUUAUAAACAAAGCUUGAAGGAGGUUUGAGAUUUUUUGAAAUUAUUUUGUGUAAAAAAAUUGCAAGAUUGUGUAGUGGACUGUUGAUGGUAGAAAUGAUUAUCCUGAAAAGGUUGCCCGGUUUGUGGAUAAAACUUAACUAAUAUAAUAUAAAAUUAUGAAAGAACUCGGUGAGACAAAGUUUUGAUUACAUAUAACGACUGUGUCGAGAGCUAUCAAAAAUUGCACGAGAUGAAACUCUAUUUUGAUAAAAAAACGCUUUAUUGUCAACUAAUUCGACAAAUCGGGCUGUCAACAUAUAAGGAUCGUAAUGUGCGAAACGAGCGGAGAGUGAAGACCGCGCGCGUCCGCGCGUCGAAAGUAAACACAUCAUUAUAAAA